CUUUUAUGGAGAGUUUGAUCCUGGCUCAGGACGAACGCUGGCGGCGUGCCUAAUACAUGCAAGUCGAGCGAACAGAGAAGGAGCUUGCUCCUUUGACGUUAGCGGCGGACGGGUGAGUAACACGUGGGCAACCUACCUUAUAGUUUGGGAUAACUCCGGGAAACCGGGGCUAAUACCGAAUAAUUUAUUUUACUUCAUGGUGAAAUACUGAAAGACGGUUUCGGCUGUCACUAUAAGAUGGGCCCGCGGCGCAUUAGCUAGUUGGUGAGGUAACGGCUCACCAAGGCGACGAUGCGUAGCCGACCUGAGAGGGUGAUCGGCCACACUGGGACUGAGACACGGCCCAGACUCCUACGGGAGGCAGCAGUAGGGAAUCUUCCACA
rnacentral:rRNA from 1 species